UUGUCUAAAUACAGAUAAAGUAAAACAAUUUUUUAGAUUUACUUCAACCAUCGAUUCAUUUUUUUAAUCAACUUCAGAUAUUUUAAAAUUAUAAAAGUUAUAACUUCUGGUACAUAAAUGACCUAUAAUGGCAGAAAAGUAAUAUUUCGUAAUCGUAAAAUAAAUUUGCAAGCCGAUGAAGACGCCGUUAGAUUUUAUCCAAGUCUUCAUUCUAAAGUGGAACACCGUAGUGAC